rnacentral:rRNA from 1 species
GACGAACGCUGGCGGCGUGCUUAACACAUGCAAGUCGAACGGAAAGGCCUCAGCUUGCUGGGGUACUCGAGUGGCGAGCGGGUGAGUAACACGUGGGUGAUCUGCCUUGCACUCUGGGAUAAGCUUGGGAAACUGGGUCUAAUACCGGAUAUGAACUGCCUUUAGUGUGGUGGUUGGAAAGUUUUUUCGGUGCAAGAUGAGCUCGCGGCCUAUCAGCUUGUUGGUGGGGUAAUGGCCUACCAAGGCGUCGACGGGUAGCCGGCCUGAGAGGGUGUACGGCCACAUUGGGACUGAGAUACGGCCCAGACUCCUACGGGAGGCAGUAGUGGGGAAUAUUGCACAAUGGGCGGAAGCCUGAUGCAGCGACGCCGCGUGGGGGAUGACGGCCUUCGGGUUGUAAACUCCUUUCGACAGGGACGAAGCUUUUUGUGACGGUACCUGUAUAAGAAGCACCGGCUAACUACGUG